rnacentral:tRNA from 1 species
GCAGAUGUAGCUCAGACGGCAAGAGCCACCGGCUUAAAAAGGCCGGCAGAAAGUGUCGCGGGUUCGAGUCCCGCCAUCUGCG